rfam:Mortierella elongata AG-77 unplaced genomic scaffold K457scaffold_52, whole genome shotgun sequence.
GUCAAUAUGGCCGAGCGGUUAAGGCGUGUGACUCGAAAUCACAUGGGAUAUCCCGCGCAGGUUCAAAUCCUGCUGUUGACG